CAUUAAAGAGACGUUGCCCUUCGGGGUAUACCUCCCACCCUUUGUUUAUUAUACCUUUGUUGCUUUGGCAGACCCGGCUUCGGCCCACCGGCUCCGGCUGGUCAGUGUCUGCCAGAGGACCUAAAACUCUGUUUGUUAAUAUUGUCUGAGUACUAUAUAAUAGUUACAACUUUCAACAACGGAUCUCUUGGUUCUGGCAUCGAUGAAGAACGCAGCGAAAUGCGAUAAGUAGUGUGAAUUGCAGAAUUCAGUGAAUCAUCGAAUCUUUGAACGCACAUUGCGCCCCUUGGUAUUCCAUGGGGCAUGCCUGUUCGAGCGUCAUUUGUACCUUCAAGCUCUGCUUGGUGUUGGGUGUUUGUCUCGCCUCUGCGUGUAGACUCGCCUUAAAACAAUUGGCAGCCGGCGUAUUGAUUUCGGAGCGCAGUACAUCUCGCGCUUUGCACUCAUAACGACGACGUCCAAAAGUACAUUUUUACACUCUUGACCUCGGAUCAGGUAGGGAUACCC
rnacentral:rRNA from 1 species